rnacentral:lncRNA from 1 species
CUUGCUGCUCCCCAAUAAUGGAUUGACCUCAGCAGCACUCAACACACACAAGGCGAACAAAAACUCAAUCAAAAGAAGAAGAGAGGGAGAGAAGAACUUUACUAAGAAGAGCAAGAGAGCAGUUCUUGCCCCAAAGUAGAGGAAAAGUGUCCGCCAAGUAUGUCAACCACCUAAUUAUCACUUGGCAAGGGAUUGGGACAGCUCAUCGAAGCUCCAUAAUGAGUUAUUUUUUAAUGUACUCCGAAAUCCAUAUCUCGGAUAAUGAGAUCCAUAUUAUCAGUACGACGAGAAAAGGGAUUAUAGGAGAAAAUGGCCAGAUUCUUUUAAACUGAUAUAAAACCUAUAACCAAUUAGUAAUAAAGAAAUCAGGUGUGAGUUUGAAGUGUCCAGGUUAUAUAAUUAUCCGUAUAGACAGCAUCACGAAGUCAAACUUAUAAAUGGAUUGGAUAUAAAUGUGAUAAAAAUGAAUUAUUUCUGUAAUAUACUGUAUACUACAUCUAUACUUACAACUUCUUUUUGAUUCACAAAACCUUUGGACUCAUGUAAGCAUGACUUUCAAUUCAUUCCUCAGAAAUCAGUAGAGAAAGAAAGGUGAGAGAAGCGAAGGGUAGGAACUGCGCUCAAAGAUAUUUCAUUGAUGGUCAUUUAGAUGGAUCUGUCCUGCAGAUCAAUCGAAUAUAUGGAUCCUCAUUUAUCCAUCCUUCCCGUUCCUAGGAAUUCUUAUUUUCCCUCUUGGAUAUCCAAUGCACACGCAUCCUGAUACUAUCUUCAAUGACACGCUCUGUCAAGGGAUCUCGCCUAAUUGUGCUUCACAAUUUUAUCUCCUUUCAUGGAAGGAUCGUUCAUUGUGCAGAUGUCCCUUCAUAUCAAGGUGUGGGAUAGUGACUCCUGAUAUCGUUAAUCAUUAACAUUUGAAUGCUACAUAAAUUCCUCCAGAUCUUCUACGGAAUCAUCGUAUACUUAAACAUAUAGGAACUAAGGGUUCCAUAAAGCCACGGAAUAACCCUCUAAAAGACCCAGUGACGAUUAUAUAACCUAGAUACUUCAAGUUCACACCUGAUUUUUGUAUUACUACUGUCUCUAUUAUCAUUGGAAAAGAAGAGUAAGUUGUUUCUAAACUCGUAAAGAUAAUGCUUCUCUUUUCUCGAUCUUUUGAUCUGCAAAGCAUAUUCUAUUCUGAUAUUACAUACAAAUAGUUAUUAGGAACUGUUAAGUAAUUAUGUGUUUUUAAAAAAAUUUAAGAGACCUCUUCCCUACUGUAGACUUUAUUGUAAUAUCUGAAUAAUAUAUCAUUGUAGUUCUAAGACGUAUUGAGUCGGGAAUACUCUUCUAAACAAGUAAAUUUCGUUUCACCUUAUUUGAAUAUUACUCUAACGAAAAACCAGGAUCUCCACACAAAAAAAUUAAUUACGGAUAAUAAAAACAGUUAUUUGGAACUUUAAAGUGAUCUAUGUUUUACACAAUAUAUAACAGACCAAAUGACUUAUGUAGUAAUAUCUUUAUACCAUUGCAAUUCUCCAACUUUUGAGUCGGGAAUCUCCUUCGUAAUGAUCUAGGAUCUCCAAACAAAUAAAUGAGUUAUUAAAUGUUUUCCAUACUAGCUAAUUAGACGUUUUUUUACUGAAAAUAAUAGUACGAUUGUUUUAGUAUUGAUUGAAAAAAUAAUAAAGAAUCAAUGAUAUUCUUCAAAAUUUA